rnacentral:rRNA from 1 species
UACGUAGGGGGCAAGCGUUGUCCGGAAUCAUUGGGCGUAAAGCGCGCGUAGGUGGCCCCGUAAGUCCGCUGUGAAAGUCAAAGGCUCAACCUUUGAAAGCCGGUGGAUACUGUGGGACUAGAGUACGGAAGAGGCGAGUGGAAUUCCUGGUGUAGCGGUGAAAUGCGCAGAUAUCAGGAGGAACACCGGUGGCGAAGGCGGGUCUCUGGGCAGUAACUGACGCUGAGGAGCGAAAGCGUGGGGAGCGAACAGG